CCUACGGGAGGCAGCAGUGAGGAAUAUUGGUCAAUGGACGAGAGGCUGAACCAGCCAAGUAGCGUGAAGGAUGACUGCGCUAUGGGUUGUAAACUUCUUUUAUAUGGGAAUAAAACGUUCCACGUGUGGGUGUUUGUAUGUACCAUAUGAAUAAGGAUCGGCUAACUCCGUGCCAGCAGCCGCGGUAAUACGGAGGAUCCGAGCGUUAUCCGGAUUUAUUGGGUUUAAAGGGCGCGUAGGUGGAUUGUUAAGUCAGUUGUGAAAGUUUGCGGCUCAACCGUAAAAUUGCAGUUGAAACUGGCAGUCUUGAGUACACUAGAGGUGGGCGGAAUUCGUGGUGUAGCGGUGAAAUGCUUAGAUAUCACGAAGAACUCCGAUUGCGAAGGCAGUUCACUGGACUGCAACUGACACUGAGGCUCGAAAGUGUGGGUAUCAAACAGGAUUAGAUACCCUUGUAGUC
rnacentral:rRNA from 1 species